rnacentral:rRNA from 1 species
GAAAGCCUGACGGAGCAACGCCGCGUGAGGGAUGAAGGCCUUUGGGCUGUAAACCUCUUUUCUCAAGGAAGAAGAUCUGACGGUACUUGAGGAAUAAGCCACGGCUAAUUCCGUGCCAGCAGCCGCGGUAAUACGGGAGUGGCAAGCGUUAUCCGGAAUUAUUGGGCGUAAAGCGUCCGCAGGCGGCCGUUUAAGUCUGUUGUUAAAUCGUGGAGCUCAACUCCAUCACGGCAAUGGAAACUGUUCGGCUUGAGUAUGGUAGGGGCAGAGGGAAUUUCCGGUGUAGCGGUGAAAUGCGUAGAUAUCGGGAAGAACACCAGUGGCAAAAGCGCUCUGCUGGGCCAUUACUGACGCUCAUGGACGAAAGCCAGGGGAGCGAAAGGGAUUAGAUACCCCUGUAGUCCUGGCCGUAAACGAUGAACACUAGAUGUUGGGGGAAUCGACCCCCUCGGUGUCGUAGCUAACGCGUUAAGUGUUCCGCCUGGGGAGUACGCACGCAAGUGUGAAACUCAAAGGAAUUGACGGGGGCCCGCACAAGCGGUGGAGUAUGUGGUUUAAUUCGAUGCAACGCGAAGAACCUUACCAAGGCUUGACAUCCUGCGAAUCUCUAAGAAAUUAGAGAGUGCCUUCGGGAACGCAGUGACAGGUGGUGCAUGGCUGUCGUCAGCUCGUGUCGUGAGAUGUUGGGUUAAGUCCCGCAACGAGCGCAACCCACGUUUUUAGUUGCCAGCAUUCAGUUGGGCACUCUAGAAAGACUGCCGGUGACAAACCGGAGGAAGGUGUGGACGACGUCAAGUCAUCAUGCCCCUUACGCCUUGGGCUACACACGUACUACAAUGCUGCGGACAAAGAGUAGCGAUCUUGCGAAAGUUAGCUAAUCUCGUAAACCGCGGCUCAGUUCAGAUCGUAGGCUGCAACUCGCCUACGUGAAGGAGGAAUCGCUAGUAAUCGCAGGUCAGCAUACUGCGGUGAAUACGUUCCCGGGCCUUGUACACACCGCCCGUCACACCAUGGAAGUUGGCC